UACGGAGGGUGCAAGCAUUAAUCGGAUUGAUUGGGCGUAAAGGGCGCGUAGGCGGGGAUUUAAGUCAGAUGUGAAAUCCCGAGGCUCAACCUCGGAACUGCAUUUGAAACUGGAUUUCUAGAGGAUAGGCGGAGAAAACGGAAUUCCACAAGUAGCGGUGAAAUGCGUAGAUAUGUGGAAGAACACCUGUGGCGAAAGCGGUUUUCUAGCUUAGACCUGACGCUGAGGCGCGAAAGCAAGGGGAGCAAACAGG
rnacentral:rRNA from 1 species